CUCCUUUCUUGGCAUGCUCAUUGUUUUCCUGUACACGUGUGUGUAUGUGAUGGAGAAUAUUAAAGUCCAGUGUCUUUGGUGACAGAAAAUCCACCAUCUUCUGGUUCUAUCCUCAAUCACAGGCACAUAC
rnacentral:snoRNA from 1 species